UACGAAGGGGGCUAGCGUUGCUCGGAAUUACUGGGCGUAAAGGGAGCGUAGGCGGACAUUUAAGUCAGGGGGUGAAAUCCCAGAGCUCAACUCUGGAACUGCCUUUGAUACUGGAUGUCUUGAGUGUGAGAGAGGUAAGUGGAACUCCGAGUGUAGAGGUGAAAUUCGUAGAUAUUCGGAAGAACACCAGUGGCGAAGGCGACUUACUGGCUCAUUACUGACGCUGAGGCUCGAAAGCGUGGGGAGCAACAGG
rnacentral:rRNA from 1 species